GGAGGAGUAGUUGAGCAGUGGGCUGUCACUAUCUCGACGCCAGAGUGUUUGCCAGUUUUGGCAGGAAGUCCUUCUAUGUAACUGGAUACCUGGACCUUCUUCUCCUGGAAGUAUUUACUGAGUACACGCUGAGCAGGGCAAAACCUCCACAUGAUCCGUUCAAGUUCCCAUCGGUAAUCCAAGUGACAGUUUGCUCCAUUACUCCUCCGGGUCCAACAUAUGUCUACCUGUCUGCUCUCCAAUGAGUUCCCUCUUGUCUGGAUAAUCCCACACAGACUGGAUUAAAGUAACGACAAGAGCCCCCUCAAAUACUUUCCAGUUCCAGUUCACCACUUCUCUGAGUUCCAGAUCCAACCUCCGUUCACAUUGC